UACGUAGGGUGCAAGCGUUGUCCGGAAUUAUUGGGCGUAAAGAGCUCGUAGGCGGUCUGUCGCGUCGGCUGUGAAACCUCGGGGCUCAACCCCGAGCCUGCAGUCGAUACGGGCAGACUAGAGUGCUGUAGGGGAGACUGGAGUUCCUGGUGUAGCGGUGAAAUGCGCAGAUAUCAGGAGGAACACCGGUGGCGAAGGCGGGUCUCUAGUACGGUACUGACGCUGAGACGCGAAAGCGUGGGGAGCGAACAGG
rnacentral:rRNA from 1 species